UUGGAGGGCAAGUCUGGUGCCAGCAGCCGCGGUAAUUCCAGCUCCAAUAGCGUAUAUUAAAGUUGUUGCAGUUAAAAAGCUCGUAGUUGAAUUUCGGGGUUCUACCGUUGGUCGGGCUUUGUCUGUACUGGUGUGUAGAAUUUCUACCUUCUGGGGAACCAUCAUGCUAUUAAUUUAGCGUGGUGGGAAACCAGGACCUUUACCUUGAAAAAAUUAGUGUGUUCAAAGCAGGCUUAUGUCUGAAUACAUUAGCGUGGAAUAAUAGAAUAGGACGGUGGUCCUGUUUUGUUGGUUUCUGAAUCACCGUAAUGAUUAAUAGGGAUAGUUGGGGGCAUUAGUAUUCAAUUGUCAGAGGUGAAAUUCUUGGAUUUAUUGAAGACUAACUUCUGCGAAUGCAUUUGCCAAGGAUGUUUUCAUUAAUCAAGAACGAAAGUUAGGGGAUCGAAGACGAUCAGAUACCGUCGUAGUCUUAACCAUAAACUAUGCCGACUAGGGAUCGGACGAUGUUAAUUUUUCUUGACUCGUUCGGCGCCUUACGGGAAAC
rnacentral:rRNA from 1 species